AUAAAAAGCUUUUAACACAAAUACGAUGGAAAGCCACCAGAAACAUAUGAGUGGAGACAGGCACACUCUGACUUAUAUUUGAAAUGGAUUGCUCUGGCACUGUGGACAGAAAACUGUGUAAAUGUAUUUUCUCACAGUCCUGGAGGCUGGAGUCAGAGAUCAGGGUGCCAGCCUGGCUGGGUUCUGGUGGGGGCCCUCUUCCAGGCUUGCUCAUGACUGCCUUCUCUCACUGUGUCUCUCCCCUGUUGUUUGAGCCACAAAAUCUGUGGUAUUUUAUUAUCACAACCUGAGCUGCCUAGACAGGAUGUUAAGACUAGAUGAUCCGGGGAUCUCUUUUGGCUCCAAUAUUGCACAAUUUGAUAUAAUAUUUGAUAAUUUCUGUCUAAUUUUGUAAAAUUUCAUGCUAGCAAUGGAACUAAAGAAGUCUUUGUUUUAGAAUGUCCUUCUGAGAGUUAGGAAUGUAGAUCCAGGCUCCUUGGCUGUUUAGCAUCUCAGGCUGCAUUGUGAUGAGGAAGCAGACAGAAGAACUGGUAUCAAAGCCAAGUGUU
rnacentral:antisense_RNA from 1 species